GACGCGAGGAGUCUGUUUGAAAACGUCUGAGAGCAAGUCACACCGCAGCCGCGUGAACAAGUCUGCGCCACGCCCGGGGGCGGCUCGGCUGCGGGGGCGCACGGGGGCUUCCACGCGGAGCAGCCCCCUCUGCCGCUGCUGAGACCCGGUCCCUUCCCCGGGCACGCUGCAGACCCACCCCCCUCCCCCGCUUAAAUGCUGACGGGCGAGAAGAUGCAGCCGUUGGCAAAGAAAACACUGCGCCUGUGGUGUAUUGAGAAGUGGGAGAUUGCUCUUUGGUUUCCACCUGGAAGUCUCUUUUUUUUUUAAUAAAAGUCCUUUGACAGGACUGGGCUUGAGAUCCCUGAGAAGGUGGGACCAGACCAAGCUGGUGACAGGCAGAAACAGCCGGACCAGGCCUGAUGUGGUCAGGCCCUCUUUCUGGGAAUGUGCCUUUUCCUGUUCUCCUGCUAGGGUCAAACUGCUGGACUCACCAGAUGCAGUUUAAGGACUGACUCAACCUUUCCUACUAAGGCCCCUCACAAUAAACAACAGCAGAGAGCUUCCGCGCGGUGAUCACUGUGGACCCUCUGUGAUUCCUGGCAUCCCGGCUGGGUCCUUAGGGACCGCCACGUCAGCACGGUGUUGGGGUGCUCAGCUUUGUCGCCAUCAUGUCCUCUUAAGUCAUAGUCUGCCCUAGAAGUUUCCAGAGAUCUCCCACCACCAUGUGGAAAGCAGAUGUGUCACGGAGAAGUGGAACCCACUUGUGAGGAGAGACCAUCGUCUGUUGGCCACUUGCCUUUUCCCCAUCCUUUGUGCCAUCCUGUGCUGGUUUCCCUCCUCUCCUGUGCUCCCCCUGUCUGGCAGGGUGCUCAUCCCGGGCACGGCCCCUCGAGGACCCUCCACAUUGACUCCCCUGGCACAGCCAUGAAGCCGCCCAGCCCGGCCCGUGUCUGCCUCUCUGCUCUGCUCACCUGGAGGAAAGCACAGCCGUCCAUCCACAAGCCACGCCACUGUAAGUCCAGGUCAAAACUUAAAUCAUUGUGGAUCUUUCCUUUCCCCCUAACACCUGUGUGUUUGAUUUGUGUUCCUCCAAAUAUACCCAUUCUAUUCAUCACACCCUCAUUCAAGGUGUCCAUGGAACACUGUCACAGCUGCUGUCUGCACCUUCCGCUAAACAGCCAUAGUCUAAAGAUACCUAGGUAUCUGUUCACUUUCCAUCCUCAUGGAAAGUUCUUCCAACAUCCCACAGGCUGUGCCCGGCUCCCCAUCAUCUCUUUCCUACCCAUAUCAUUUCCUGCCAUUCUUUUCCUUGUUCUGCUUGGUCAGCCUCGUGGACCUUUGGGCUCAUCCCUGCCCUGCCAAGCACACUGGGUAACAGCGUCUCCCUGCUUACGUUCCACCUGCCUAAGACACUAUUCAGCUAUGUGACUGACUUUCACCUUCAUUUCAUUCAAAUCUCAGCUCAAAAAUGUCACUUUGUCAGAGAGGUAUGUUCUCUAUCCACCCACACAUCACUCUUUAUUCUUUUACUAUGCCCUGUAAUUUCUAUAUAACACUUCUAAUAUAGUAUAUAUUUUUUGAUUCCCUGUCUUUUCUCGCUUGAAUAUAAACUCACAGCAGCAGAGACCUUGCCUGCUUUGUCCACUAUUUUGUGUCAAAUACCUAGAACAUUAGAAUCUAUAGCAAAUGAUUGGAAAGCAGGCACCGGACUGAGAGUGCAAAUGUAGCCUUCUAAAUCCAUAAACCCUGAAGACUUAUUGUGAGCCAGGAUCUGUUCCUAGCACUGAAUCGAGACCAUCAUGCUAAGUGAAAUAAAUUGAACCCACGAGCUUAACUGUCAUGUGGUUUAUCUUCUAUGAGAAAUGCAAAUUAUAAAUAAAGGGCAAAAUAUAAGAUAGAUAACAGUAAGGAGGAGAUAGAUCUUUCCACUGGAGGGGAAUCAAGAGAUGGAGU
ensembl:lincRNA